rnacentral:rRNA from 1 species
AUUGAACGCUGGCGGCAGGCCUAACACAUGCAAGUCGGGCGAGUGGCGGACGGGUGAGUAAUGUAUGGGGACCUGCCCGAUGGAGGGGGAUAACUACUGGAAACGGUAGCUAAUACCGCAUACCAUCAGAUGAACCCAGAUGGGAUUAGCUAGUAGGUGGGGUAACGGCUCACCUAGGCGACGAUCCCUAGCUGGUCUGAGAGGAUGACCAGCAACACUGGGACUGAGACACGGCCCAGACUCCUACGGGAGGCAGCAGUGGGGAAUAUUGCACAAUGGGCGCAAGCCUGAUGCAGCCAUGCCGCGUGUAUGAAGAAGGCCUUCGGGUUGUAAAGUACUUUCAGCCGGGAGGCGUUACCGGCAGAAGAAGCACCGGCUAACUCCGUGCCAGCAGCCGCGGUAAUAC